AACCUCCACAAUGUGGGAAAUCCACGAUGGGGGGACUCCAAGUGGACGUAUUUUAUACGUCCUGUUCCCGAGCCUAAAAAGCUCGGGAAGUAAGGGCCGGGUAAGACGGGUGCCAGCCGCCGCGGUAAUACCCGCGGCCCGAGUGGUGCUCAUUAUUAUUGAGCCUAAAGCGUCCGUAGCUGGCCGGGUAAAUCCCUGGGGAAAUCAGGCGACCUAAUCGACCGAAGACCAGGGACACUACUUGGCUUGGGAUUGGGAGGGGGUGAUAGUACUUCUUGGGUAGGGGUAAAAUCCUGUAAUCCAAGGGGGACUACCAGUGGCGAAGGCGAUCACCUAGAACAAAUCCGACAGUGAGGGACGAAGCCCUAGGGCGCAAACGGGAUUAGAUACCCCGGUAGUCUAGGGUGUAAACGCUGCAGACUUGGUGUUGGGGGUCCUGAGGGGACACCCAGUGCCGGAGCGAAGGUGUUAAGUCUGCCGCUUGGGGAGUACGCUCGCAAGAGUGAAACUUAA
rnacentral:rRNA from 1 species